AACGAGACCCGGCCUAUCGCUGGAGUACUGUAAGGUACUCUGGAGGAAAGUCCGGACAGCACAGGGUACUGUACUUCUCAAAAGGAAGGCGUUUGUCCUGCAAAGGGCAGAUGACAGAUAGUGCUACAGAAAUUCAGACGGCCUCACACAUGUGCGGUCAAGGUGAAAAGGCGGGGUAAGAGCCCACCAGUGAUGCAGAGAUGCAUCAGCUCAGGUAAACCUUGCAGGCUGAAAGACCAUGUAAACUGACGUUUGAGAACGACCCGUUCGAUGUCAGAGGGUAGGUCGAGUAGAUAAAUGAUAGGCACCUUCACUUGUGAAGGUCACAGAAUCCGGCUUACAGGGUCUCGUUCUUC
rnacentral:RNase_P_RNA from 1 species